CCGUAUUAAGUUGAGUUAGUAGCUUUUGUUUAGCUGAUAUCUCCCUUUCAUUAUGUUAUGUUGUAAAAUAGGUCGUAUUCUAUUUCCCUAGCCGCUAUUUAACAAGGCUUUGCUACAGCGAUGGGGCUUCACCGUAGAGAGAAUGUCUUAGGGAGCUGAGGUUCACCAUAGCAAAGGUGGACCUGUUACAAAUGGUUUUCCAUAGUGAAGCUUUGUUCGCUACAGUGGGUCUGCUGCAGCGGACAAGAUCUAUAUGGCAAAUGAUGCAAGACAGAAUGCAUCUUAAAGACAACUAGUUAUGUAGACGAGGACAUCCUAGCUAGCAUGAGCAAAGUUGAUGAUAGUAAUUAGCCCGUAUUGGUUCAAGUGGAUGAAGAGUCUUUAUCAUCUAUAAUUGUGUAUUCUAAACUUGAGAAUUAUUUUAUUAGUCAGUUUUGAAUACUUUGGUUAUCUUAAGACUUACAAGUUAUGUGUUGAACUUUCUAACUAUACUUUCGUGAUCUAGUUUUAUUCUAUUACAGCA